rnacentral:rRNA from 1 species
CGAGUGGCGAACGGGUGAGUAACACGUGGGUGAUCUGCCCUGCACUUUGGGAUAAGCCUGGGAAACUGGGUCUAAUACCGAAUAUGACCGCAUGCUUCAUGGUGUGUGGUGGAAAGCUUUUGCGGUGUGGGAUGGGCCCGCGGCCUAUCAGCUUGUUGGUGGGGUAAUGGCCUACCAAGGCGACGACGGGUAGCCGGCCUGAGAGGGUGACCGGCCACACUGGGACUGAGAUACGGCCCAGACUCCUACGGGAGGCAGCAGUGGGGAAUAUUGCACAAUGGGCGCAAGCCUGAUGCAGCGACGCCGCGUGGGGGAUGACGGCCUUCGGGUUGUAAACCUCUUUCAGCACAGACGAAGCGUGAGUGACGGUAUGUGCAGAAGAAGCACCGGCCAACUACGUGCCAGCAGCCGCGGUAAUACGUAGGGUGCGAGCGUUGUCCGGAAUUACUGGGCGUAAAGAGCUCGUAGGUGGUUUGUCGCGUUGUUCGUGAAAACUCACAGCUUAACUGUGGGCGUGCGGGCGAUACGGGCAGACUGGAGUACUGCAGGGGAGACUGGAAUUCCUGGUGUAGCGGUGGAAUGCGCAGAUAUCAGGAGGAACACCGGUGGCGAAGGCGGGUCUCUGGGCAGUAACUGACGCUGAGGAGCGAAAGCGUGGGGAGCGAACAGGAUUAGAUACCCUGGUAGUCCACGCCGUAAACGGUGGGUACUAGGUGUGGGUUUCCUUCCUUGGGA